CUGCCCGUAGCUCAACUGGAUAGAGCAACAGCCUUCUAAGCUGUAGGUCGGGGGUUCGAGUCCCUCCGGGCAGGCCA
rnacentral:tRNA from 2 species